AAAACCAUCUCUGGCCCAAAAUGGAACUGUGAGCUGUACCACAUGCUCCAAAUGAAGUGCUAAUUAAAUACUUCUACUUAAUGUAGACAACGUUUCUUUGAGAAGGCUGUAAUGUAUCGCAGAUGUGGCGAAUCCCUUGGAGAGCAGAGAAGGAGCACUGUGCACGUUGGAUCCCUCUGUGAGUGACCUUGGUAUCGGGAAUACUGCAGGUGCUUCCAUAUGGAUGCACACUCUGACACAUGGGACAUAAAUGGUGGAGCUGUGGAGCUUGAAUGGGUACUUGAGUCUUAAGAAAAACAGCUGGACCCAGCCCCUGAUCCUGAGGGAUAUGAAAUCCAAUUUGCCUCCAGUGCUGACAGGUUUUCAGCUGGAUCUGCAGCCAGGUAAGAGGCUCCUGCAGCCACAUCAUGCCAAG